AUGACGCUGGCGGAAUGCUUUACACACCUCGCAGUUUGAACGGCAGCACGGACUUCGGUCUGGUGGCGAGUGGCGAACGGGUGAGUAAUGCAUCGGAACGUGCCCAAUCGUGGGGGAUAACGUAGCGAAAGUUACGCUAAUACCGCAUACGAUCUAAGGAUGAAAGCGGGGGAUCGCAAGACCUCGCGCGAAUGGAGCGGCCGAUGUUAGAUUAGGUAGUUGGUGGGGUAAAGGCUCACCAAGCCGACGAUCUAUAGCUGGUCUGAAAGGAUGAUCAGCCACACUGGGACUGAGACACGGCCCAGACUCCUACGGGAGGCAGCAGUGGGGAAUUUUGGACAAUGGGCGCAAGCCUGAUCCAGCCAUUCCGCGUGCAGGAUGAAGGCCCUCGGGUUGUAAACUGCUUUUGUACAGAACGAAAAGCUCUGGGUUAAUACCCUGGGGUCAUGACGGUACUGUAAGAAUAAGCACCGGCUAACUACGUGCCAGCAGCCGCGGUAAUACGUAGGGUGCAAGCGUUAAUCGGAAUUACUGGGCGUAAAGCGUGCGCAGGCGGUUAUGUAAGACAGAGGUGAAAUCCCCGGGCUCAACCUGGGAACUGCCUUUGUGACUGCAUAGCUAGAGUACGGCAGAGGGGGAUGGAAUUUCGCGUGUAGCAAGUUGAAAAUGCGGUUACGAUAUCGCGGGCAGGGAACAACCGAUUGGCGAAAGGCCAUCCCCCUUGGGGCCUGUUACUUGAACGCUUAAUUGACGAAAAGCGCUUGGGGAG
rnacentral:rRNA from 1 species